UACAGGGGGUGCAAACGUUGCUCGGAAUUAUUGGGCGUAAAGCGCGCGUAGGCGGCUACUUAAGUCGGAUGUGAAAGCCCUUGGCUCAACUGAGGAAGUGCACCCGAAACUGAGUGGCUUGAGUACUAAAGAGGGUCGCGGAAUUCCCGGUGUAGAGGUGAAAUUCGUAGAUAUCGGGAGGAACACCGGUGGCGAAGGCGGCGACCUGGGUAGAUACUGACGCUGAGGCGCGAAAGCGUGGGGAGCAACCAGG
rnacentral:rRNA from 1 species